UACGGAGGGUGCAAGCGUUAAUCGGAAUUACUGGGCGUAAAGCGUGCGUAGGCGGUUCGUUAAGUCAGAUGUGAAAGCCCUGGGCUCAACCUGGGAACUGCAUUUGAAACUGGCGGACUAGAGUUGAGUAGAGGGGAGUGGAAUUUCAGGUGUAGCGGUGAAAUGCGUAGAUAUCUGAAGGAACACCAGUGGCGAAGGCGACUCCCUGGACUCAAACUGACGCUGAGGUACGAAAGCGUGGGUAGCAAACAGG
rnacentral:rRNA from 1 species